GCUGAGGUUGACCCAUGGACUCUGGAAACAUCCUCCAGCUCUAAGCUGUGGUAAGUCUUAAAUGCUGCCUUUGGUAAGAGUAGUAGGAGAGAAGAGCAUAGGUAUAAACCUUCCUCAGCUAGGAAUAGGUCUCUUUAUCCAGGAGUGAAAUAAACCUACACUUUGAAGCUUUGUGACAUACCAUCUAUUCAAACCCAUUUUCUUAGGAGAAAUUGCCAAAAACUGCCAGAGAACUAUCUUUAAUCCAGUUUCUUUAGAGCUUCUGUUGCCAAUUCAAACAACCAGUGUUCAGGAAGGAUGUGACAAUACAGCACAUGGACUGUAAAACAACCCAGAAAACAGACAGAUUGAAAAAACUCCAACUAUUUUUAAAUCUGUCUCAGAAUUCCAGCAUAACUUUUCCUGGAGAAAUAACAGUGCACUUCCCAUGACAGCAGAAAACAGAUGUCACUUCAUCUUAAUUUGCAUUCCUGUGGUCAGCACUUCUAAUAAUCUUUGCAGUGACAACCAUAGAAAGCCUUAAAUUCUGGGAGUUUUUCAUCUGCAAAGUUCUUCAGCUCUCUGAAGGCCGAUGUCUUCUUGGUAACCCUGUAGGCUGGAGGUUGGUCAUGUCAUGUAGGAGAUAUAAGGAAUAUCCUUCUGCAGGUUGACUUACAUAGCCCUGAUGUGGUGCAUAAUGCUCAAGAAGUCUCAAACCCUUUGUGAAAGAAUCAGAUAAUGACCUCUACUUCACAUCCAUCAUUCAGUCUUUAAAAAAAAAUAUAUGCUGUAGUUAACGUAAGAAUCUUGUUGCUAUUUGAAAAUCACC